GAUGAAGAACGUAGUAAAAUGCGAUACUUGGUGUGAAUUGCAGAAUCGCGUGAACCAUCGAGUUUUUGAACGCAAGUUGCGCCCGAAGCCUUUUGGCCGAGGGCACGUCUGCCUGGGCGUCACGCAUCGCGUCGCCCCCCACAAUUCUCCGUAAAAGGAACAUGUGUUUUGGGGGCGGAUAUUGGUCUCCCGUGCUCAUGGCGUGGUUGGCCGAAAUAGGAGUCCUUUCGAUGGACGCACGAACUAGUGGUGGUCGUAAAAACCCUCGUCUUUUGUUUCGUGCUGUUGCUCGCAAGGUAAACUCUUUAAAAACCCCAAUGUGUCGUCUCUUGACGACGCUUCGACCGCGACCCCAGGUCAGGCGGGACUACCCGCUGAGUUUAAGCAUAUCAAUAGCGGAGGA
rnacentral:misc_RNA from 1 species